UGAGGUAUCGGCAAGUGGUAAGCCAGCAGGUUUUGAUCCUGCCAUUCCGUUGGUUCGAAUCCAGCUACCUCAA
rnacentral:tRNA from 1 species